UUGUCGAGAGUGCGAUAUUCAAGUUAUUAAAAAAUGUUUUUCGAUUCUUUCAAUUAUCAUCCCUUGCCUGAACCUUUCGAGUAAGAGAUUUUUCACAUUUUGUAGUUAUUUAUGCAAAUAAGAAAUUUAUUCGAAAAACUAAUGGCUUUAAAAUGAAAUUGCUCUGUGUAAAUGAUAACUAAUUUAAAUUGAUUUAAAGAUUUCGACUCUUCGAUAUUUCUGAAUGUAGUUUUUAAGCAAACAUUUUAGUGUUUUGCUGUAUCCUGUAAUCAUAUUGGUGUUGAAAUUAAAAGGGUGGAUUUGCAUGUGAGUUUAACUGCUCAGAGUUUAGGGUCUUGUACUAAGUAAAUACAUCUUAGGGAUUUUUACAUUUACCGUUACUUAAAAAAGGAAACAGAAUACGUUUCUUACUCUAUGAACCUAAUUUAAUAGAGUUGUUUUUCAUCUGUAGCCUUUUCAAUUCACUACACGGCAACAUCUGAUGGACGUGCGGGAUUCGUGCAUCCAAAAAAUUUGGAUCACUUCAAAUACCGAGGCAAUAAAAAAGGCCUAUUGGAGCAGGAUGAACCCGCAAAUAUUAAAUUUGGGACGUCCAUCUUCAAAAACCAGAUUAAUCCUGCAUAUAAACAAGCAAAAGAAAAGAUUCGGCCAUUUUACGAGAUUUGUCGCGAUCGCUUUAACAGUCAGCGAUUGGUUGAAGAUCAGGACGACCAUGAUUUGAAUGAUGACAUUAUGGGUCGUCCAACGAACAUCAGAAUGAAUGAAGGCUUCAGCAAGCACGAAGGAUACAUGGAAAAUCCGAACACCAUUGGAUAUAAUGUUGUGUGUGCUGAUAAUAAGAGAAAAACAUCAAAUAAAGCCAGAUCUUUUUUCAAAGCCGUAUGGAAGCCAGUCAAGAGAUCAGCACAGAAGUUAUGGAGAAGCGUGAAAAAUAGAGAAACUGAGUACAUUCAAUUUGAUUAGUGAUCUCUUUGUUUACAUCAUUGAGUCAAGUGUACAUCUACUUGAUUUAAUCCGUGUACGUCUCGG